rnacentral:rRNA from 1 species
GUGAGGAAUAUUGGUCAAUGGGCGGGAGCCUGAACCAGCCAAGUCGCGUGAAGGAAGAAGGAUCUAUGGUUCGUAAACUUCUUUUGCAGGGGAAUAAAGUGCAGGACGUGUCCUGUUUUGUAUGUACCCUGAGAAUAAGGAUCGGCUAACUCCGUGCCAGCAGCCGCGGUAAUACGGAGGAUCCGAGCGUUAUCCGGAUUUAUUGGGUGUAAAGGGUGCGUAGGUGGUUUGAUAAGUCAGCGGUGAAAGUUUGCAGCUUAACUGUAAAAAUGCCGUUGAAACUGUCGGACUUGAGUGUAAAUGAGGUAGGCGGAAUGCGUGGUGUAGCGGUGAAAUGCAUAGAUAUCACGCAGAACUCCGAUUGCGAAGGCAGCUUACUAAGCUACAACUGACACUGAAGCACGAAAGCGUGGGGAUCAAACAGGAUUAGAUACCCUGGUAGUCC